GACGAAUGCUGGCUGCGUGCUUAACACAUGCAAGUCGAACGGUGAAAGGGAGCUUGCUCCCUGGAUCAGUGGCGAACGGGUGAGUAACACGUGGGCAACCUGCCCCUCACUCUGGGAUAACUCCGGGAAACCGGGGCUAAUACCGGAUAUGACCUGGUGCGACAUCGCACCGGGUGGAAAGAACUUCGGUGAGGGAUGGGCCCGCGGCCUAUCAGCUUGUUGGUGGGGUAACGGCCCACCAAGGCGACGACGGGUAGCCGGCCUGGGAGGGCGACCGGCCACACUGGAACUGGGACACGGUCCAGCCUCCUACGGUAGGCAGCAGUGGGGAAUAUUGGACAAUGGGCGCAAGCCUGAUCCAGCCAUGCCGCGUGGGUGAAGAAGGCCUUCGGGUUGUAAACUGCUUUUAUACAGGAAGAAACGACCCUUGCGAGGGGCAUUGACGGUACUGUAUGAAUAAGCACCGGCUAACUCCGUGCCAGCCGCCGCUGUAACAC
rnacentral:rRNA from 1 species